GACCAGACUCCUACGGGAGGCAGCAGUGAGGAAUAUUGGUCAAUGGCCGGAAGGCUGAACCAGCCAUGCCGCGUGAAGGUCAGUGCCCUAUGGGCGUUAAACUUCUUUUGUGCGGGAGCAAUAAUGGUCACGUGUGGCCAGACGAGGGUACCGUACGAAUAAGCAUCGGCUAACUCCGUGCCAGCAGCCGCGGUAAUACGGAGGAUGCGAGCGUUAUCCGGAUUUAUUGGGUUUAAAGGGUGCGCAGGCGGAGGUGCAGGUCAGCGGUAAAAUUGCGGGGCUCAACCCCGGCGAGCCGUUGAAACUGUCGGACUAGAGACGGCGAGAAGUACGCGGAAUGCGCGGUGUAGCGGUGAAAUGCAUAGAUAUCGCGCAGAACUCCGAUUGCGAAGGCAGCGUACCGGCGCCGGACUGACGCUGAGGCACGAAAGCGUGGGUAUCGAACAGGAUUAGAUACCCGCGUA
rnacentral:rRNA from 1 species